rnacentral:rRNA from 1 species
UGCAGUCGAGCGGACAGAAGGGAGCUUGCUCCCGGAUGUUAGCGGCGGACGGGUGAGUAACACGUGGGUAACCUGCCUGUAAGACUGGGAUAACUCCGGGAAACCGGAGCUAAUACCGGAUAGUUCCUUGAACCGCAUGGUUCAAGGAUGAAAGACGGUUUCGGCUGUCACUUACAGAUGGACCCGCGGCGCAUUAGCUAGUUGGUGAGGUAACGGCUCACCAAGGCGACGAUGCGUAGCCGACCUGAGAGGGUGAUCGGCCACACUGGGACUGAGACACGGCCCAGACUCCUACGGGAGGCAGCAGUAGGGAAUCUUCCGCAAUGGACGAAAGUCUGACGGAGCAACGCCGCGUGAGUGAUGAAGGUUUUCGGAUCGUAAAGCUCUGUUGUUAGGGAAGAACAAGUGCAAGAGUAACUGCUUGCACCUUGACGGUACCUAACCAGAAAGCCACGGCUAACUACGUGCCAGCAGCCGCGGUAAUACGUAGGUGGCAAGCGUUGUCCGGAAUUAUUGGGCGUAAAGGGCUCGCAGGCGGUUUCUUAAGUCUGAUGUGAAAGCCCCCGGCUCAACCGGGGAGGGUCAUUGGAAACUGGGAAACUUGAGUGCAGAAGAGGAGAGUGGAAUUCCACGUGUAGCGGUGAAAUGCGUAGAGAUGUGGAGGAACACCAGUGGCGAAGGCGACUCUCUGGUCUGUAACUGACGCUGAGGAGCGAAA